rnacentral:rRNA from 1 species
CAGCMGCCGCGGUAAUWCGUAGGGUGCGAGCGUUAAUCGGAUUUACUGGGCGUAAAGCGUGCGCAGGCGGCCCGUUNAGACAGGUGUGAAAUCCCUGGGCUCAACCUAGGAAUUGCGCUUGUGACUGGCGGGCUCGAGUACGGUAGAGGGGGGUGGAAUUCCUGGUGUAGCAGUGAAAUGCGUAGAGAUCAGGAGGAACACCGAUNGCGAANGCAGCCCCCUGGGCCUGUACUGAUGCUCAUGCACGAAAGCGUGGGGAGCAAACAGGAUUAGAUACCCUGGUAGUCCACGCCCUAAACGAUNGGUACUAGCCGUUUGGUGCGCGAUGCGCUGAGUGGCGAAGCUAACGCGUGAAGUACCCCGCCUGGGGAGUACGGCCGCAAGGUUGAANCUCAAAGGAAUUGACGGGGNCNCGCACAAGCGGUGGAUNAUNAGGAUUAAUUCGAUGCAACGCGAAGAACCUUACCUACCCUUGACAUGCCCCGAACCUGGGAGAGAUCCUGGGGUNCCCGAAAGGGAACGGGGACACAGGUNCUGCAUGGCUAUCGUCAGCUCGUGUCGUGAGAUGUUGGGUUAAGUCCCGCAACGAGCNCAACCCCUGCCAUUAGUUGCCAGCGGCUUGGCCGGGCACUCUAAUGGGACUNCCGGUGACAAACCGGAGGAANGUGGGGACNACNUCAAGUCAUCAUGGCCCUUAUGGGUAGGGCUUCACACGUCAUACAAUGGCGCGUACAGAGGGUUGCGAAGCCGCGAGGCGGAGCCAAUCCCAGAAANNNCNUCGUAGUCCGGAUUGCAGUCUGCAACUCGACUGCAUGAAGUCGGAAUCGCUAGUAAUCGCGGAUCANCAUGCCGCGGUGAAUACNUUCCCNGGUCUUGYACACACCGCCCGUC